GCCGGAUUGUUGUGGUGUUGCAGAAAUCCAGUUUUCGAACGGUGGACUUACGUGUGGCUCGGCUCUUGGGACCUUAGGGGAGGCUUCUGAAGGCGGGUCGAGUGACGAGGCUCGGUGACGGUGCUAGUAGAUCGGUUGGGUAGCCUCUGACUGGUAACUCCUGGACUCCAUUUGGGUCUGGGUGCUCUCCAUUUCACUCCUGAAGAUCCUUACGUAUUUAUCGUAUUUGUGGUAGCGGGUAAAGGUAGAGGGGCAGUUCUGCGUGGGGAUGGCCAAGCCGUCUAACGGUGCGGUAGUAGAAUCUCGCUCUGGAGGGCUGUUUCUACCCUCCGUUUCUUCUUCAGCCAUGUCGCCAGCUCCACGUGCAGCCCCAGCCCCUGCCUCGGUUUCCCUGUUGGCUCUCAGCGGGGAAGCUCCACUCGUUCGGGGCCUGAGCCUGGUGAGCCAAGCUCCUGGGGAGGCUCUGGCCUGGGCGCCGCGUACUUCCUGUCCAGGAGAGAACACAAGCUCAGGAAAACAAGUAUCUCUAUGUUCUCUGGAUAUUUCAGAUAAAUUGUUUUGUUCAGCCUGUGACCAGAUCUUCCAGAACCACCAGGAACAGAGAGAACAUUAUAAGCUUGAUUGGCAUCGCUUUAACUUAAAACAACGUCUCAAGAACAAGCCUCUCCUGUCUGCUUCAGACUUUGAAAAGCAAAGCUCCACAGGAGAUCUUUCCAGCAUCUCGGGAUCAGAAGACUCAGACUCAGCUAGUGAAGAGGACUUGCUGACACUGGAUGAGGGGAGGGCUGAAUCUGAGAAACCUAACCGACCCACCGGAUUCUACCCACAUCGGGUUCUCUUCAGAAACGCCCAGGGCCAGUUUCUGUAUGCCUAUCGUUGUGUCCUAGGCCCUCACCAGGCAAGUAACAGUACAGGUUGUGUGAUCAGUCCCAGCUUUUGUAUACUAGGUUUUCUGCAGCCAAUGUAUGUCUUAUUUUCUUCUUUCCUUUUGGGUCAGGCUAUAUCAUACCUGACAGCAUAAUCUUGAAUUGAAACUAGCCAGAAUCUUGAAAGGGUCAGGUGUAAUAGGAUUAAGUCUAAAUUGUGAUUAUAUCCUUCCCAUCUUCCUCCACUACCUCUUGAAGCCUCAGAUAUCCUUUGUGAAGUGGAAAUGAGGCCACGAUGGUUAUAAUGAGUGAGGUAAUGCAGUAUAACACUUGGUUUCUUGUUUUCAAUGCAUGCAGCAUGUGGAAUGUUUGUUGAUGUGUCAUCUAGAUUCCCCCAGAAAGGGCAGAAUUGCUGCUAAAAAACCUUCAAAAUGGAGGUCCCAGACACUACGUGGUGCUCAUGGCUGCAGCUGGACAUUUUGCUGGUGCCAUUUUUCAAGGAAAAGAAGUGGUGGCACACAAAACCUUUCACCGUUACACUGUGCGGGCCAAGCGGGGCACAGCCCAGGGGCUUCAGGAUGCCCAGGGUAGGGCAUCCCGCUCUGCUGGAGCAAACCUGAGGCGUUACAAUGAAGCCAUGCUCUAUAAGACCCACUUUUGGAGAGCUUCAGCGUGUACUCCAUAAGCUGACCACCUUGCAGGUGUAUGAUGAAGACCCUCGAGAAAUGGUCAGAUUUCACUCUCCUGAGACGCGCUGGAAACCAGUGAGAGAAGAGAGGAAAAAGGAAACUGGGAAAGAAAAAACAAAGGUCCCCAGUGAUGCAAAUAAGGCACUUGGGCAGGAUGAAGAACCACUCAAACAAGGUUUGAGCAGCAUCUGGCAGUUGUAAAUUGACCCAUCUAAAGGUUGCUAGGCGACCCCUUAAACUAGACCCACAGCCAGCCAGCCACUCACCCCUAGGAGCAUCUCGUGAUAAAAAUAAGGCGUGUUGUGAAAAGCAGACAUGGUUUUCUUUUGUUGUUUUGAGAAUGUCUCACUUCAGCCCAGGCUGGUCUAGAACUCACUGUAUAGCACCCACACUGGCCUUGAAAAAUCAUGGCGAUCUUCCUGCCUCAGCCACCCAAAUGCUGGGAUUGCACAUGAGCCACCACACCAAGCUGCUUUUUUAUUGAGGCAGGGUCUUUGUUGUCUAGCCCAGACUGGCCUGGAGCUCUCUGUAACCCGGGUUGAUCUUAAACUCGCAGUCCUUUUGUCUCCAGUUUCCAAAUGCUAGGAUUGUAGUCCCACAUCCAUCAAAUGGGACAUGUUUAGUGAUUUGCCAAAUCUUAGACUGUUCAUAGAUACAUUCCUGGUACUCAGCAUGGAGGGAAUGUGCUGUUUGAUUGGAUGCUGUGCUUGAGGCUAAGCUUGUUUUCCUCUACAUUUUGGGGUUUUUUGUUUGUUUGGUUUUGUCUUUUUUGUUUGUUUGUUUUUGUGUGGUGGUGGUUUUGGUGUUUGUUUUUAAGACAAGGUCUCACUAUGUAGCUCUGGCUGUCCUGGAAUUCAGCCAGAUAAACCAGGCUGACCUUGAUCUCAUAAAGAUCCACCUGCCUCUGCCUCCCAAGGGCUGGGAUUAAAGGCGUGUACCACCAUGCUGGUGCUGUCCUGUUCAGUGGGAGAGUCCAGGGACAGAAUAAAAACACUUCAUUUCAGGAUGAUCUGGAGUAUCUUUUUAUAAAUGUAAACCCAUCUGAGGAAGCCCAUGUCUUUCUACCCUCUCACUGUUCCUUAGAUACAUAGAUCUAAGAUUGUAUGUUUUUAGGUUCGGAGUCUCAGGAACAAGAUGGCUCCGAAGUAGAGUUGGAGCUAGUAGAGUUGACACUGGGGACCCUGGAUCUUCGUGAAUUUGAAGUAUUGCCCAAGCAGAGGAGGAGGAGGAAGAAGAAGGAGAGAAGUCAAGAGCAGCAGUGUGGGUCACAUGGGCCUCUUCUUCAGCAGCCUCAAGAUGAGCCAUUCUCACAGCCAACCCGAGUGCUUGCAACCCCACUGGACACUUCUGUUGAUGAGGCCAAAGCCCCUGGUCAACCAGAGCUCUGGGAUGUGCUUCUAGCUGCUUGUCGUGCUGGGGAAGUUGAGGUGCUAAAGCUGCAGCUAGCCACUGGGCCUGUAGACCCUGCAGUUAUGUCCCUACUCAAUGCCCCUUUGGGCUCCGGUGGCUUUACUCUCCUGCAUGCAGCAGCUGCAGCUGGAAGAGCCUUAGUAGUUCGUUUGCUGUUGGAGGCUGGGGCUGACCCCACUGUGCAGUGAGUACCUCCUUCCUGACCUCGGUUAGGUAUAGAGAGCAUUACGUGGUAGCUCAUGUUGGCAUUUGAUGCUGUUUCCUUGGGUGAUGCCAGGAAAAGCAGGAGGCAAGUUGAACUUGGUUUUGGGUUUUGUCCUUAGGGACUCUAGGGCCCGGCCACCUUAUACUGUAGCAGCUGACAAAUCAACACGUAAUGAAUUCCGGAGGUUCAUGGAGAAGAAUCUUGAUGCCUAUGAUUACAACAAGGCUCGGGUGCCAGGGCCAUUGAGUCAAGAAAUGGAAGCCCGGCAGGCUACAAGGAAAAAGGAGCAAAAGGCAGCUCGCCGCCAACGGGAGCAGCAGCAGCGGAAGCAGAGGGAGCAGGAAGAAAAGGAGCAAGAGGAGCAACGGCGGUUUGCUGCGCUCAGUGACCGAGAGAAGAGAGCUCUGGCUGCAGAGCGUCGACUUGCUGCCCAGCUAGGAGCCCCUAGCCCUCCAGUUCCUGACUCUACAGUUGUCAAUGCUGGACGCUGCUGGAGUUGUGGAGUGUCCCUCCAAGGCCUCGUUCCCUUUCACUACCUCGACUUCUCUUUCUGCUCCACGCGUUGCCUUCAAGACCAUCGCAGUCAGGCAGGGAGGGCUUCAUCUUGAUUUCUUACAGCCACCUGGGGCCAAUUCUGGGUCCCAAGAGGACCCAUCCAGACCCAGAGCUCUCCUCCUCCUCAGGAAGCUCUUCAGUGAAGAUGGGCACUGAGGGACACUCAGGAACCGGGGCAGAGACAGGGCCAUGAAGGUGUGUGGAGCCAGUGCUGUCUUUGGAAUUUUAAUCACAAUAAACUUUGGCAAG